AGCGAACGCUGGCGGCAGGCUUAACACAUGCAAGUCGAACGGGCAUAGCAAUAUGUCAGUGGCAGACGGGUGAGUAACGCGUGGGAACAUACCUCUUGGUUCGGAACAACACAGGGAAACUUGUGCUAAUACCGGAUAAGCCCUUACGGGGAAAGAUUUAUCGCCGAGAGAUUGGCCCGCGUCUGAUUAGCUAGUUGGUGUGGUAAAGACGCACCAAGGCGACGAUCAGUAGCUGGUCUGAGAGGAUGAUCAGCCACAUUGGGACUGAGACACGGCCCAAACUCCUACGGGAGGCAGCAGUGGGGAAUAUUGGACAGUGGGCGCAAGCCUGAUCCAGCCAUGCCGCGUGGAUGAUGAAGGCCCUAGGGUUGUAAAGUCCUUCUAACGGGGAAGAUAAUGAC
rnacentral:rRNA from 1 species